rnacentral:rRNA from 1 species
CGCUGGCGGCGUGCUUAACACAUGCAAGUCGAACGGAAAGGCCCUGCUUUUGUGGGGUGCUCGAGUGGCGAACGGGUGAGUAACACGUGAGUAACCUGCCCUUGACUUUGGGAUAACUUCAGGAAACUGGGGCUAAUACCGGAUAGGAGCUCCUGCUGCAUGGUGGGGGUUGGAAAGUUUCGGCGGUUGGGGAUGGACUCGCGGCUUAUCAGCUUGUUGGUGGGGUAGUGGCUUACCAAGGCUUUGACGGGUAGCCGGCCUGAGAGGGUGACCGGCCACAUUGGGACUGAGAUACGGCCCUGACUCCUACGGGAGGCAGCAGUGGGGAAUAUUGCACAAUGGGCGGAAGCCUGAUGCAGCAACGCCGCGUGCGGGAUGACGGCCUUCGGGUUGUAAACCGCUUUCGCCUGUGACGAAGCGUGAGUGACGGUAAUGGGUAAAGAAGCACCGGCUAACUACGUGCCAGCAGCCGCGGUGAUACGUAGGGUGCGAGCGUUGUCCGGAUUUAUUGGGCGUAAAGGGCUCGUAGGUGGUUGAUCGCGUCGGAAGUGUAAUCUUGGGGCUUAACCCUGAGCGUGCUUUCGAUACGGGUUGACUUGAGGAAGGUAGGGGAGAAUGGAAUUCCUGGUGGAGCGGUGGAAUGCGCAGAUAUCAGGAGGAACACCAGUGGCGAAGGCGGUUCUCUGGGCCUUUCCUGACGCUGAGGAGCGAAAGCGUGGGGAGCGAACAGGCUUAGAUACCCUGGUAGUCCACGCUGUAAACGGUGGGUACUAGGUGUGGGGUCCAUUCCACGGGUUCCGUGCCGUAGCUAACGCUUUAAGUACCCCGCCUGGGGAGUACGGCCGCAAGGCUAAAACUCAAAGGAAUUGACGGGGCCCCGCACAAGCGGCGGAGCAUGCGGAUUAAUUCGAUGCAACGCGUAGAACCUUACCUGGGUUUGACAUGGAUCGGGAGUGCUCAGAGAUGGGUGUGCCUCUUUUGGGGUCGGUUCACAGGUGGUGCAUGGCUGUCGUCAGCUCGUGUCGUGAGAUGUUGGGUUAAGUCCCGCAACGAGCGCAACCCUUGUUCACUGUUGCCAGCACGUUAUGGUGGGGACUCAGUGGAGACCGCCGGGGUCAACUCGGAGGAAGGUGGGGAUGACGUCAAGUCAUCAUGCCCCUUAUGUCCAGGGCUUCACGCAUGCUACAAUGGCUGGUACAGAGAGUGGCGAGCCUGUGAGGGUGAGCGAAUCUCGGAAAGCCGGUCUCAGUUCGGAUUGGGGUCUGCAACUCGACCUCAUGAAGUCGGAGUCGCUAGUAAUCGCAGAUCAGCAACGCUGCGGUGAAUACGUUCCCGGGGCUUGUACACACCGCCCGUCAAGUCAUGAAAGUUGGUAACACCCGAAGCCGGUGGCCUAACCGUUGUGGGGGAGCCGUCGAAGGUGGGACUGGU